GCUCAGAUUGAACGCUGGCGGUAUGCUUAACACAUGCAAGUCGAACGGAAACGGAACUAGCUUGCUAGUAGACGUCGAGUGGCGGACGGGUGAGUAACGCGUAGGAAUCUGCCUGAUAGUGGGGGAUAGCCCGAAGAAAUUCGGAUUAAUACCGCAUAAUCUAUUCGUAGUAAAGUGAGGGACUUUCGAGCCUCACGCUAUCAGAUGAGCCUGCGUAAGAUUAGCUUGUUGGUAGGGUAAAAGCCUACCAAGGCAACGAUCUUUAGCUGGUCUGAGAGGAUGAUCAGCCACAUCGGGACUGAGACACGGCCCGAACUCCUACGGGAGGCAGCAGUGGGGAAUAUUGGACAAUGGGGGCAACCCUGAUCCAGCAAUACCGCGUGUGUGAAGAAGGCCUGAGGGUUGUAAAGCACUUUCAAUUGUGAAGAAAAGUUAACGGUUAAUAACCGUUGACCUUGACGUUAACUUUAGAAGAAGCACCGGCUAACUCCGUGCCAGCAGCCGCGGUAAUACGGAGGGUGCAAGCGUUAAUCGGAAUUACUGGGCGUAAAGCGUGCGUAGGCGGUUUAUUAAGUCAGAUGUGAAAGCCCUGGGCUUAACCUGGGAACUGCAUUUGAAACUGGUCAACUAGAGUAUGGUAGAGGAAAGUGGAAUUUCUGGUGUAGCGGUGAAAUGCGUAGAUAUCAGAAGGAACAUCAAUGGCGAAGGCAGCUUUCUGGACCAAUACUGACGCUGAGGUACGAAAGCGUGGGUAGCAAACAGGAUUAGAUACCCUGGUAGUCCACGCCGUAAACGAUGAUAACUAGCCGUUGGGGGGAUUUACCCUUUAGUGGCGAAGCUAACGCGUUAAGUUAUCCGCCUGGGGAGUACGGCCGCAAGGCUAAAACU
rnacentral:rRNA from 1 species